rfam:Schistosoma haematobium scaffold1955_3, whole genome shotgun sequence.
AUCCAACUGACAAGUUUCAAAUAGGACGAAACGACCGUUCUGAAU